rnacentral:tRNA from 1 species
AAAGUUACAACACAUUGAAUUGCAAAUUCAAACCUCCUCCCUUACUAU